UAAAUGGUUUUGGCGGA
rnacentral:sRNA from 1 species